rnacentral:rRNA from 1 species
UACGGGGGGGAGCAAGCGUUGUUCGGAUUUACUGGGCGUAAAGGGCGCGUAGGCGGUCAGCACAAGUCAGUUGUGAAAUCUCCGGGCUUAACUCGGAAAGGUCAACUGAUACUGUGCGACUAGAGUGCGGAAGGGGCAACUGGAAUUCUCGGUGUAGCGGUGAAAUGCGUAGAUAUCGAGAGGAACACCUGCGGCGAAGGCGGGUUGCUGGGCCGACACGUGACGCUGAUGCGCGAAAGCCAGGGGAGCGAAGCGGG